GCCAUAGCACAAGCGUACUAGGA
rnacentral:siRNA from 1 species